GUUAGUUGCACUGUCACAGCUGGUCGCAAACAUGACAGUCGUUCGUUACUUUCAUAAGUUACUUCAAAUUUCAAAACAAAUUGAAACUGUUAAACAACGGAGAUCGGAUAAUGAGUUAACUGUUUUUAAAUAAUUUCAGCUGACGUUUUCGUGUGCCUGGCCAACUAGGUGUUCGACUGCUCGUGUAAUAAAUUGAAAUAAAAUGGCUAAUCCAGUAAUGCAAGUUUGAAAGCUGUGUCUUCUGAAGCUCAAUGAUCUCUGCUGCAAGUUUUUGUAAAUCUUCAAGAUAUUGAUGCCUUUGCCAGAUCCAACUCUUUGCUGCUAUCUAUUUUGCAGACAACAGUAAUAAGCUACUCAAGAUUUUGUGGUGAUCUUGAGUGAUCUCACCAUUAGUUCUAAUUUAGGACAUGUAUAAGAAUGAUAGAUUUUAGGAUAAUCCCUCUCCUCUGUUAUGGUUGUUUGGAAGAGAGAUUGCUGGAUUUGAAGACUGAUAAUUUGUGUAGACAGUAGAUAAAUUACAAUUGCAUAAUCUGGGCUCCCUUCUUUUCUGUGGCCCCGUUUCCCAAACUAAUUUUAUAAAGAAAAAGUAAAACUCA